rnacentral:tRNA from 1 species
AGGGACCAUGGCCCAGUGGUAGAACAUCUGCUUGGCAUGCAGAAAGUCCCUGGUUCAAUCCCUGCUGUCUCUA